CCUACGGGAGGCAGCAGUAGGGAAUAUUGCUCAAUGGGGGAAACCCUGAAGCAGCAACGCCGCGUGGAGGAUGAAGGUUUUCGGAUUGUAAACUCCUUUUGUUAGAGAAGAUAAUGACGGUAUCUAACGAAUAAGCACCGGCUAACUCCGUGCCAGCAGCCGCGGUAAUACGGCGGGUGCAAGCGUUACUCGGAAUCACUGGGCGUAAAGAGAGCGUAGGCGGGAUAGCAAGUCAGAUGUGAAAUCCUAUGGCUUAACCAUAGAACUGCAUUUGAAACUGUUAUUCUAGAGUAUGGGAGAGGUAGGUGGAAUUCUUGGUGUAGGGGUAAAAUCCGUAGAGAUCAAGAGGAAUACUCAGUGCGAAGGCGACCUGCUAGAACAUAACUGACGCUGAUGCGCGAAAGCGUGGGGAGCAAACAGGAUUAGAUACCCUAGUAGUC
rnacentral:rRNA from 1 species